rnacentral:rRNA from 1 species
AGUGGCGAACGGGUGAGUAACACGUGGGUAACCUGCCCAAAANAGGGGGAUAACACUUGGAAACAGGUGCUAAUACCGCAUAACCAUAGUUACCGCAUGGUAACUAUGUAAAAGGUGGCUAUACUACCGCUUUUGGAUGGGCCCGCGGCGCAUUAGCUAGUUGGUAGGGUAAAGGCUUACCAAGGCAAUGAUGCGUAGCCGAAUUGAGAGGUUGAUCGGCCACAUUGGGACUGAGACACGGCCCAAACUCCUACGGAAGGCAGCAG